rnacentral:rRNA from 1 species
AGACCCGAAACCCGGUGAUCUAGCCAUGGGCAGGUUGAAGGUUGGGUAACACUAACUGGAGGACCGAACCGACUAAUGUUGAAAAAUUAGCGGAUGACCUGUGGCUGGGGGUGAAAGGCCAAUCAAACCGGGAGAUAGCUGGUUCUCCCCGAAAGCUAUUUAGGUAGCGCCUCGUGAAUUCAUCUCCGGGGGUAGAGCACUGUUUCGGCUAGGGGGCCAUCCCGGCUUACCAACCCGAUGCAAACUGCGAAUACCGGAGAAUGUUAUCACGGGAGACACACGGCGGGUGCUAACGUCCGUCGUGAAGAGGGAAACAACCCAGACCGCCAGCUAAGGUCCCAAAGUCAUGGUUAAGUGGGAAACGAUGUGGGAAGGCCCAGACAGCCAGGAUGUUGGCUUAGAAGCAGCCAUCAUUUAAAGAAAGCGUAAUAGCUCACUGGUCGAGUCGGCCUGCGCGGAAGAUGUAACGGGGCUAAACCAUGCACCGAAGCUGCGGCAGCGACGCUUAUGCGUUGUUGGGUAGGGGAGCGUUCUGUAAGCCUGUGAAGGUGGCCUGUGAGGGUUGCUGGAGGUAUCAGAAGUGCGAAUGCUGACAUAAGUAACGAUAAAGCGGGUGAAAAGCCCGCUCGCCGGAAGACCAAGGGUUCCUGUCCAACGUUAAUCGGGGCAGGGUGAGUCGACCCCUAAGGCGAGGCCGAAAGGCGUAGUCGAUGGGAAACGGGUUAAUAUUCCCGUACUUGGUGUUACUGCGAAGGGGGGACGGAGAAGGCUAUGUUGGCCGGGCGACGGUUGUCCCGGUUUAAGCGUGUAGGUGUGUGUUCCAGGUAAAUCCGG